rnacentral:pre_miRNA from 1 species
AAGAAAAAUAAAUAUGAUAGUUUAAAAUAUCAAAUAUGUUAGAAUUUGUUUGUCAAUUUCAUUUAGCCAGUUGAACUGGUUAAAACCGGUUGGUCCAACUGGCCAAAUUUAGUCAUAAACAUUGAUUUGGAUUGGUUUUUUUACCGAAUCUAGUUUUUACUUGAGGCCUGAACAGCCAAAGCACCAGUCGACGGUCUGACCGGUCUGAUCACCAGUUCAGUAUGUUCUUGACCACUAUAGACCGAAGAAAGUCUUAAUAACUAAGGUGAUCAAGAACUUACCGAACUGGCAAUCUGGUCGGUCGGACCAUCUACUGGUCCUUUUGUUGGUUUGGUCUAGAUUAAAAAUUGAGUUUGUGAAAAACCGAUCAAAGCAAGUGUUUGAUAGAUUUUGACCAAUUUGACUUGUCGGUUUCAACUAGUUCAAUCGGCUAAACAAAAUGGUAACUCUUUUUCUAAUAUAUUAUAUAUUUAUAAAUUAUUAUUUAUUUUUCUU